rnacentral:lncRNA from 1 species
AUGAACACACCAUCACAGACCUCUACAACUCCACAGUGUUACACUACCCAGGACAGGACUACUACUCCACAGUGUCACACUACCCAGGACAGACCUCUCCUACUCCACAGUGUUACACUUCACAGGACAGGACUCUCCUACUCCACAGUGUUACACUCCACAGGACAGACUAUCCUACUCCACAGUGUUACACUCCACAGGACAGGACUCUCCUACUCCACAGUGUUACACUCCACAGGACAGACCUCUCCUACUCCACAGUGUUACACUCCACAGGACAGGACUCUCCUACUCCACAGUGUUACACUCCACAGGACAGGACUCUCCUACUCCACAGUGUUACACUCCACAGGACAGACCUCUCCUACUCCACAGUGUUACACUCCACAGGACAGACCUCUCCUACUCCACAGUGUUACACUCCACAGGACAGGACUCUCCUACUCCACAGUGUUACACUCCACAGGACAGGACUCUCCUACUCCACAGUGUUACACUCCACAGGACAGACCUCUCCUACUCCACAGUGUUACACUCCACAGGACAGACCUCUUCAUUCUGUCCACUGGUAGAGAGCAGCAGAGUCCUCUGGGGUUUGGAACAGAAUAUUGUUGUUGUUGUUGCCCCGUCUGAGGAUGUGGAAGAGGAGGGGUUUAUAGUGACCAUCACUGUUUCUACCAUAAGACACAGAACUACUGGAUAUUCAACCAAGAGGAAAGAGACAGAUCCAUUAAUGUGGAAGAGGAGACCAUCACUGUUUCUACCAUAAGACACAGAACUACUGGAUAUUCAACCAAGAGGAAAGAGACAGAUCCAUUAAUGUGGAAGAGGAGACCAUCACUGUUUCUACCAUAAGACACAGAACUACUGGAUAUUCAACCAAGAGGAAAGAGACAGAUCCAUUCCUGCAACAAUCCCGAGACGUACAAGAACACGUUAUCAAGGGGAACUUCUGUCACCUGUAAUCAUUGUUUUGGAGAAGAGAGGAGAUUUGACGCCAUCUUGACAACACUCAUCAUCUAGUGAAAACCAGGGGAAACACACCAGGCCCAGUUGCAAGCAAAGUUCUUGAACAGAACUGUU